GAUGAAGAACGUAGCGAAAUGCGAUACGUAAUGUGAAUUGCAGAAUUCAGUGAAUCAUCGAGUCUUUGAACGCACAUUGCGCCCCCUGGUAUUCCGGGGGGCAUGCCUCUUCCAGCGUCAUUUCACCCCUCAAGCUCUGCUUGGUUUUGGGCCGCGCCGGCAACGGCGGGCCUCGAAAAUAGUGGCGACGCCAUCGUGCUCUCAGCGUAGUAAUUCUUCUCGCUGUUGGGUCCCGGUGGUCGUCCGCCAGCAACCCCCAACUUUCUUAAGUUUGACCUGGGAUGAGGUAGGGAUACCCGCUGAACUUAAGCAUAUCAAUAAGCGGAGGA
rnacentral:misc_RNA from 1 species